rnacentral:rRNA from 1 species
AUACGGAGGAUGCGAGCGUUAUCCGGAUUUAUUGGGUUUAAAGGGAGCGUAGGUGGGAUAUUAAGUCAGCUGUGAAAGUUUGGGGCUCAACCUUAAAAUUGCAGUUGAUACUGGUUUCCUUGAGUACGGUACAGGUGGGCGGAAUUCGUGGUGUAGCGGUGAAAUGCUUAGAUAUCACGAAGAACUCCGAUCGCGAAGGCAGCUCACCGGGCCGGAACUGACACUGAUGCUCGAAAGUGCGGGUAUCAAACAGGAUUAGAUACCCUGGUAGUCCGCACAGUAAACGAUGAAUACUCGCUGUUUGCGAUACACUGUAAGCGGCCAAGCGAAAGCGUUAAGUAUUCCACCUGGGGAGUACGACCGCAAGGUUGAAACUUAAAGGAAUUGACGGGG